AACGAACGCUGGUGGCGUGCUUAACACAUGCAAGUCGAACGAGAACGUUUCCUUCGGGAAAUUAGUAAAGUGGCGCAAGGGUGAGUAACACGUGAAUAAUCUGCCCUCGAGAUCGGGAUGACAUGGUGAAAACUAUGCUAAUACCGGAUAAGACCACAUUUCGCAGGAAAUGCGGUAAAAGGAGUCUCAAUCUGCACUCGAGGAUGAGUUCGCGCAACAUUAGCUUGUUGGUGAGAUAAAAGCUCACCAAGGCUACGAUGUUUAGCCGGCCUGAGAGGGUGAACGGCCACACUGGAACUGAGACACGGCCCAGACUUCUACGGAAGGCAGCAGUAGGGAAUUUUCCGCAAUGGGCGAAAGCCUGACGGAGCAACGCCGCGUGAGGGACG
rnacentral:rRNA from 1 species